rnacentral:rRNA from 1 species
AUUGAACGCUGGCGGCAGGCCUAACACAUGCAAGUCGAACGGUAACAGGAAGAAGCUUGCUUCUUUGCUGACGAGUGGCGGACGGGUGAGUAAUGUCUGGGAAACUGCCUGAUGGAGGGGGAUAACUGCUGGAAACGGUAGCUAAUACCGCAUAACGUCGCAAGACCAAAGAGGGGGACCUUCGGGCCUCUUGCCAUCGGAUGUGCCCAGAUGGGAUUAGCUAGUAGGUGGGGUAACGGCUCACCUAGGCGACGAUCCCUAGCUGGUCUGAGAGGAUGACCAGCCACACUGGAACUGAGACACGGUCCAGACUCCUACGGGAGGCAGCAGUGGGGAAUAUUGCACAAUGGGCGCAAGCCUGAUGCAGCCAUGCCGCGUGUAUGAAGAAGGCCUUCGGGUUGUAAAGUACUUUCAGCGGGGAGGAAGGGAGUAAAGUUAAUACCUUUACUCAUUGACGUUACCCGCAGAAGAAGCACCGGCUAACUCCGUG